rnacentral:rRNA from 1 species
GAUGAACGCUGACAGAAUGCUUAACACAUGCAAGUCUACUUGAAUUUGGGUCCUAGACUUAGAUUUGGGUGGCGGACGGGUGAGUAACGCGUAAAGAACUUGCCUCACAGUUAGGGACAACAUUUGGAAACGAAUGCUAAUACCUGAUAUUAUGAUUAUACGGCAUCGUAUAAUUAUGAAAGCUAUAUGCGCUGUGAGAGAGCUUUGCGUCCCAUUAGCUAGUUGGAGAGGUAACGGCUCACCAAGGCGAUGAUGGGUAGCCGGCCUGAGAGGGUGAACGGCCACAAGGGGACUGAGACACGGCCCUUACUCCUACGGGAGGCAGCAGUGGGGAAUAUUGGACAAUGGACCAAAAGUCUGAUCCAGCAAUUCUGUGUGCACGAUGACGUUUUUCGGAAUGUAAAGUGCUUUCAGUUGGGAAGAAAAAAAUGACGGUACCAACAGAAGAAGUG